ACACGAUUUUCCAAUAGAUUUAUGGGAACGUAAACAACCGUGUAAAUACUAUUGGAGUGCAACAAUUCGAACUAGUUCUAUUGCCGUGGGAUAAUUGAAAUUGCAUUAGUCAUAUUGUAUAGUGUUAUGGGCAAAUACGAUUUGUAUGAGUAAUAAUGCACUCGACCGGAUAAUCGGCGGCAUCGAUAAAUGUAUCGCAUAUUUGCACACUUAAAACAUUUUUUAUUAUAUAACAAUGAAUCUUUUUUUUUUUUUCAUUGCAUUAUUGUUGGACGAAUUUUAAUUUGAACAACCCUCGUGCUGACUAAAUGCACGUUUUCAAUACGCGUGUUGUUAAUGAUAAUAACACCAUUUGUGCUAUUAUUUUGAGUGGAUGUCAAACUAUAUUCGAUUACGGGCAGGUCAAUAUAAUAAAAAUAAUAAUAACUGGCUAAUGGGCAAGCAAUAAUUCAUGCGGGUGUUUAUUUACUAGACUCAAUGCCAACUGUCGAGUAUGUAAAUUGGAGUCAAGAAAAACCGUUAAGUGCGACCUUGCAGCGGAUUCAGCAGUAAUCAUUCAAAAAAAUUAAACGGAAGAAAAUCGUGAUAAAAGCUUUAAUAGAAGUCAUUAUCGAGAUACUUGUUCAGUAUGGAUAUCGUUUUAAAAAUGUACCUCCAUAAUAUAAUCUAAACGCAUUUAGGUUUACGAGCGAAACAAAUAACGAAAUAAAACCAAAUCCAAUGAGUUUUUCCAGUCGAGUGGCCCUCCUGAGCUGCAUUAUAGUCUCGAGGCUAUCAAAAAUUAUCCACCUACACUUAUCCUCGUUCGGGGCGAUUACACCAUAGACAUUUAACUUACACAGGCGUAUCUUAAGACAAUUCCAAUUCUUGGGAUCGUAAGGUUGACGGAUUGUAAACGUAUAACUGCAAACAAUUAAUUUCGAACGAAUAACACAAGAGGUAAUGGUCGGGUUUUAAAACAAUAAUUACUAUGCACCAUGCGUUAUUGUUUAGAUUAGAAAUGAAAUGCUUCAAAAUUAUUGUUUCAAGGCUUUAUGUUAAAUAUUAUUACAAAAUAUGUAUCAUAUGUUCAUAUAAUUUAUUUUGCU